UACGUAGGGUGCAAGCGUUGCUCGGAAUCACUGGGCGUAAAGGGUGCGUAGGCGGUCUCGCAAGUCUGGCGUGAAAGCCCAAGGCUCAGCCUUGGAAGUGCGCUCGAAACGGCGAGGCUGGAGUGCCGGAGGGGAGAGUGGAAUUCCCGGUGUAGCGGUGAAAUGCGUAGAGAUCGGGAGGAAUACCGGUGGCGAAAGCAGCCCCCUGGGAUAACACUGACGCUCAUGCACGAAAGCGUGGGGAGCAAACAGG
rnacentral:rRNA from 1 species